rnacentral:misc_RNA from 1 species
UCCGGUUUGGCACCGGCAGUCUUCCUAGAGUCCCCGCCAUUACGCGCUGGCAACUAAGAACAGGGGUUGCGCUCGUUGCGGGACUUAACCCAACAUCUCACGACACGAACUGACGACAGCCAUGCAGCACCUCGACUAGUGUCCCUUGCGGGAAAAGCGACUUUCGCCGCCUGUCACUAGCCGUUCGAGCCCAGGUAAGGUGGGGAUGACGUAGCUAAGCCUUC